GAGUAAUGCUUAGGAAUCUGCCUAUUAGUGGGGGACAACAUCUCGAAAGGGAUGCUAAUACCGCAUACGUCCUACGGGAGAAAGCAGGGGAUCACUUGUGACCUUGCGCUAAUAGAUGAGCCUAAGUCGGAUUAGCUAGUUGGUGGGGUAAAGGCCUACCAAGGCGACGAUCUGUAGCGGGUCUGAGAGGAUGAUCCGCCACACUGGGACUGAGACACGGCCCAGACUCCUACGGGAGGCAGCAGUGGGGAAUAUUGGACAAUGGGGGGAACCCUGAUCCAGCCAUGCCGCGUGUGUGAAGAAGGCCUUAUGGUUGUAAAGCACUUUAAGCGAGGAGGAGGCUCUUUUGGUUAAUACCCAAGAUGAGUGGACGUUACUCGCAGAAUAAGCACCGGCUAACUCUGUGCCAGCAGCCGCGGUAAUACAGAGGGUGCAAGCGUUAAUCGGAUUUACUGGGCGUAAAGCGCGCGUAGGCGGCCAAUUAAGUCAAAUGUGAAAUCCCCGAGCUUAACUUGGGAAUUGCAUUCGAUACUGGUUGGCUAGAGUGUGGGAGAGGAUGGUAGAAUUCCAGGUGUAGCGGUGAAAUGCGUAGAGAUCUGGAGGAAUACCGAUGGCGAAGGCAGCCAUCUGGCCUAACACUGACGCUGAGGUGCGAAAGCAUGGGGAGCAAACAGGAUUAGAUACCCUGGUAGUCCAUGCCGUAAACGAUGUCUACUAGCCGUUGGGGCCUUUGAGGCUUUAGUGGCGCAGCUAACGCGAUAAGUAGACCGCCUGGGGAGUACGGUCGCAAGACUAAAACUCAAAUGAAUUGACGGGGGCCCGCACAAGCGGUGGAGCAUGUGGUUUAAUUCGAUGCAACGCGAAGAACCUUACCUGGCCUUGACAUAGUAGAAACUUUCCAGAGAUGGAUUGGUGCCUUCGGGAAUCUACAUACAGGUGCUGCAUGGCUGUCGUCAGCUCGUGUCGUGAGAUGUUGGGUUAAGUCCCGCAACGAGCGCAACCCUUUUCCUUACUUGCCAGCAUUUCGGAUGGGAACUUUAAGGAUACUGCCAGUGACAAACUGGAGGAAGGCGGGGACGACGUCAAGUCAUCAUGGCCCUUACGGCCAGGGCUACACACGUGCUACAAUGGUCGGUACAAAGGGUUGCUAUCUUCUA
rnacentral:rRNA from 1 species